rnacentral:rRNA from 1 species
UGGGGAAUUUUGGACAAUGGGGGAAACCCUGAUCCAGCCAUCCCGCGUGUGCGAUGAAGGCCUUCGGGUUGUAAAGCACUUUUGGCAGGAAAGAAACGUCAUGGGUUAAUACCCCGUGAAACUGACGGUACCUGCAGAAUAAGCACCGGCUAACUACGUGCCAGCAGCCGCGGGAAUACGUAGGGUGCAAGCGUUAAUCGGAAUUACUGGGCGUAAAGCGUGCGCAGGCGGUUCGGAAAGAAAGAUGUGAAAUCCCAGAGCUCAACUUUGGAACUGAAUUUUUAACUGCCGGGCUAGAGGGUGUCAGAGGGAGGUGGAAUUCCGCGUGUAGCAGUGAAAUGCGUAGAUAUGCGGAGGAACACCGAUGGCGAAGGCAGCCUCCUGGGAUAACACUGACGAUCAUGAACGAAGGCGUGGGGAGCAAACAGG